rnacentral:rRNA from 1 species
AUUGAACGCUGGCGGCAUGCCUUACACAUGCAAGUCGAACGGCAGCACGGGGGCAACCCUGGUGGCGAGUGGCGAACGGGUGAGUAAUGCAUCGGAACGUGUCCUCUUGUGGGGGAUAACCAGUCGAAAGAUUGGCUAAUACCGCAUGAGAUCGAGAGAUGAAAGCGGGGGACCCGAGGGCAACUUCGGGCCUCGCGCGAGAGGAGCGGCCGAUGCCGGAUUAGCCAGUUGGUGGGGUAAAAGCCUACCAAGGCGACGAUCCGUAGCUGGUCUGAGAGGACGACCAGCCACACUGGGACUGAGACACGGCCCAGACUCCUACGGGAGGCAGCAGUGGGAAUUUUGGACAAUGGGCGCAAGCCUGAUCCAGCCAUGCCGCGUGUGU